CCUACGGGAGGCAGCAGUGGGGAAUAUUGCACAAUGGGGGAAACCCUGAUGCAGCGACGCCGCGUGAGUUAAGAAGUAUUUCGGUAUGUAAAGCUCUAGCAGCAGGGAAGAAAAUGACGUUACCUGAUUAAGAAGCCCCGGCUAACUACGUGACAGCAGCCGCGGUAAUACGUAGGGGGCAAGCGUUAGCCGGAUUUCCUGGGUGUAAAGGCAGAGUAGACGGCAGCACAAGUCUGGAGUGAAAUGCCUGGGCUUAACCCCGGAACUGCUUUGGAAACUGUGCAGCUAGAGUGCAGGAGAGGUAAGUGGAAUUCCUAGUGUAGCGGUGAAAUGCGUAGAUAUUAGGAGGAACACCAGUGGCGAAGGCGGCUUACUGGACUGUAACUGACGUUGAGGCUCGAAAGCGUGGGGAGCAAACAGGAUUAGAUACCCUUGUAGUC
rnacentral:rRNA from 1 species